GUGGCAUUCAUUAUGUGACUCUAGGUACCCGUGGGGUAUACUCGGUGUGUGUCCCAGUUUACUGACGGACUAUUCUCUGUAUAGGACAGGCAGCGUGGCCCCAAGUGAUCUAUUCUGCCGUAUGUCCAGGUUACAUGUGGAAUAUCCUGCAUACCUGAUAUACAAUUCUCUUAUGUGGCCCCAGGAGAAAGGUCCCUCUCAGCCCAGGACCCCAUCACACACCAUUCACCAUGUGGAGUUCACUUACCUACACGAGCCGGC